UAGAAUUUUCCCUUUCAUAACCUUAAUGUUUUUUAUGCUUAAUACCAGAAACUUUUGUGAGUAUGCAUAAUAUGUGGUUUCCAAAUUACUAUUGUGCAUGUGAUAUGACCCCUUGGGCUUGACUAGUAAGAAGAUUGGGAAGCAUGUGGGAAAUGUAUAUGGAUAUUAUUAGAUCAUCCUACUUCCUACUUCAUUAUAAUCUGUUGGUCCUUGUAGGAUAAAGUAUAGCAAUGUAGAAUUAAGAAAGAGACAGAUUAUUUGAUGAUUAAAUUAGAAAGAAAAAAAAAAAGAAAAAAGAAGAAGAAGUUAAACAAACUAGAAACAUAAAUUGUAUUAUUCAAAAUUAUGAAUCCUUGUUGCAAAGAUAGUUAUUGGGAUGCCUAAAAUAGCAAAAUAUUUAUGAGUUUGGCGCCAAGAAGUAAAUUCCGUGGUUAGGAUGAAAUGUAAUGCAGCCUUAGGUUUAUUAAAUGUGUGCAGCGAAACAUAUGUGAAAUUCUAAGCACUUAUGAAACUGUGCCUAGAGGGAGGCCCAAAUUCCAAUGUACUAUCAUUUUGUUCUCUAAUAAAAUUCUUGUCUCUAAGAGUAAAUGAGGGGGGAAAAGAAGAGAGUGGAAGCAAACAGAGAGUAUAGAACUGUUUAUUAUUAUGUUGCUCCAUGCAGUUAAGAACUUGUAACAUUAAUAUGGCAGGAAAAUGGAGCAUUUGUUAGGAUGGGAAAGUUUCUUGCUUUGGUUCACUUUUUGAGUUGGACAGGAAAGAUUCAGAACACUAACUAGUUCAUAUUAUAGAGGAGGUAAAGGAAUAAUAAUGGGUAAAUUCUCUAGUUCUUCAUUGUUUAUCUAACUGUAGUCCCUUUCUGUAUCGAUUUAAUUUUGACAUAUGUGCCUUCAGUGUUACUUUUUGUAUGACAAAAUCCUUAAGUUAUGCACAUGGAGCUUGAUAUUUUGUGACUGGUUGUAGUGUCCCUCUCCUCCUUCCUCGUUUUUUCCUUUUGCAGUGUUCCUCAUCAUGUAUAUUGGUUAUCCAGUCACAACCUUCUGAGUUAUUAAAGUUGAGAUAGAAUCAUUUGGCAAGAACUUCUGCAUAUGGUUUGUCAAAAUGUGCAGCUGUUUAUGUGUGCCACAUCAGGUCUAAUUUACAUAUGAUAUUUCCCGAGUAGGAGUUUGUUUCUUGUGGAAUGCAUGCUUGUGAAGAAUACGAC